rnacentral:rRNA from 1 species
GCUUACGGCCAUACCACCCUGAACAUGCCCGAUCUCGUCAGAUCUCGGAAGCUAAGCAGGGUCGGGCCUGGUUAGUACUUGGAUGGGAGACCGCCUGGGAAUACCAGGUGCUGUAAGCU